rnacentral:rRNA from 1 species
UACGUAGGGGGCAAGCGUUGUUCGGAUUCACUGGGCGUAAAGGGUGCGUAGGCGGUCGGGUAAGUCUGAUGUGAAAUCUCACAGCUUAACUGUGAAACUGCAUUGGAUACUAUCCGGCUCGAGGAAUGGAGGGGAGACUGGAAUACUUGGUGUAGCAGUGAAAUGCGUAGAUAUCAAGUGGAACACCAGUGGCGAAGGCGAGUCUCUGGACAUUUCCUGACGCUGAGGCACGAAAGCCAGGGGAGCGAACGGG